rnacentral:rRNA from 1 species
GACGAACGCUGGCGGCGCGCUUCACACAUGCAAGUCGAACGAGAAGCCCGGGCUUGCCCGGGUGGAAAGUGGCGAACGGGUGAGUAACACGUGAGCAACCUGCCCCGAAGACCGGGAUAACACCGGGAAACCGGUGCUAAUACCGGAUGUCCUCGCCGAACCGCAUGAUUCGGCGAGGAAAUGGUCAGCCGCUUCGGGAUGGGCUCGCGGCCUAUCAGCUUGUUGGUGGGGUCACGGCCCACCAAGGCGACGACGGGUAGCUGGUCUGAGAGGAUGUCCAGCCACACUGGGAAUGGGACACGGCCCAGACUCCUACGGGAGGCAGCAGUGGGGAAUCUUGCGCAAUGGGCGAAAGCCUGACGCAGCGACGCCGCGGGCGGGAUGAAGGCCUUCGGGUUGUAAACCGCUUUCAGCAGGGACGAAAUUGACGGUACCUGCAGAAGAAGCCCCGGCCAACUACGUGCCAGCCGCCGCCGUAAGAC